rnacentral:rRNA from 1 species
CCUACGGGUGGCAGCAGUGGGGGAUAUUGCACAAUGGGGGAAAGCCUGAUGCAGCGACGCCGCGUGUGGGAAGACGGUCCUCUGGAUUGUAAACCACUUUCCCCAGGGACGAAGAUGACGGUACUUGGGGAGGAAGCUCCGGCUAACUACGUGCAAGCAGCCGCGGUAAUACGUAGGGAGCGAGCGUUGUCCGGAUUUACGGGGUGUAAGGGGAGCGUAGGCGGGGAUGCAAGUUGGGGGUCAAAACUACGGGCUCAACUGGUAGUCGCACUCAAAACUGCAGCUCUUGAGUGAAGUAGAGGCAGGCGGAAUUCCUAGUGUAGCGGUGAAAUGCGUAGAUAUUAGGAGGAACACCAGUGGCGAAGGCGGCCUGCUGGGCUUUUACUGACGCUGAGGCUCGAAAGUGUGGGGAGCAAACAGGAUUAGAUACCCUUGUAGUC